AUUGAACGCUGGCGGCAGGCCUAACACAUGCAAGUCGAACGAGUGGCGGACGGGUGAGUAAUGUCUGGGAAACUGCCUGAUGGAGGGGGAUAACUAAUGGAAACGGUAGCUAAUACCGCAUACCCUCGGAUGUGCCAAGAUGGGAUUAGCUAGGAGGUGGGGGAAAGGCUCACCUGGGCGACGAGACCUAGCUGGUCUGAGAGGAUGACCAGCCACACUGUAACUGAGACACGGUCCAGACUCAUACGUGAGGCAGCAGGGGGUAAGAUUGCACAAUGGGCGCAAGCCUGAUGAAGCCAUGCCGCGUGUAUGAAGAAGGCCUUCGGGUUGUAAAGUACUUUCAGCGGGGAGGCGUUACCCGCAGAAGAAGCACCGGCUAACUCCGUGCCAGCAGCCGCGGUAAUAC
rnacentral:rRNA from 1 species